rnacentral:rRNA from 1 species
UCCUACGGGACGCAGCAGUGGGGAAUAUUGCACAAUGGGGGAAACCCUGAUGCAGCGACGCCGCGUGAGUGAUGAAGUAUUUCGGUAUGUAAAGCUCUAUCGGCAGGGGAGAUAAUGACGGUACCUGACUAAGAAGCUCCGGCUAAAUACGUGCCAGCAGCCGCGGUAAUACGUAUGGAGCAAGCGUUAUCCGGAUUUACUGGGUGUAAAGGGAGCGUAGGCGGCUGUGUAAGCCAG